rnacentral:rRNA from 1 species
GACAGAGGGUGCAAACGUUGUUCGGAAUUACUGGGCGUAAAGCGCGUGUAGGCGGCCCUGCAAGUCGGGUGUGAAAUCCCACGGCUCAACCGUGGAAGUGCACUCGAAACUGCAGGGCUAGAGUCCUGGAGAGGAAGGUGGAAUGCUUGGUGUAGAGGUGAAAUUCGUAGAUAUCAAGCGGAACACCGGUGGCGCAGGCGGCCUUCUGGACAGUGACUGACGCUGAGACGCGAAAGCGUGGGGAGCAAACAGG